rnacentral:tRNA from 1 species
GGUGGCGUGUCCGAGCGGCCGAAGGUGCUUCACUCGAAAUGAAGUGUGGGGUCAAACCCACCGAGGGUUCAAAUCCCUCCGCCACCGCCA